AUUGAACGCUGGCGGCAUGCCUUACACAUGCAAGUCGAACGGCAGCACGGGAGCUUGCUCCUGGUGGCGAGUGGCGAACGGGUGAGUAAUACAUCGGAACGUACCCAGUAGUGGGGGAUAACGCACCGAAAGGUGCGCUAAUACCGCAUACGACCUACGGGUGAAAGCGGGGGACCGUAAGGCCUCGCGCUAUUUAAGCGGCCGAUGUCUGAUUAGCUAGUUGGCGGGGUAAAAGCCCAACAAGGCGACGAUCAGUAGCUGGUCUGAGAGGACGAUCAGCCACACUGGGACUGAGACACGGCCCAGACUCCUACGGGAGGCAGCAGUGGGGAAUUUUGGACAAUGGGGGCAACCCUGAUCCAGCAAUGCCGCGUGUGCGAAGAAGGCCUUCGGGUUGUAAAGCACUUUUGUCAGGGAAGAAAUCUUUCAGGCUAAUACCCUUGGAAGGAUGACGGUACCUGAAGAAUAAGCACCGGCUAACUACGUGCCAGCAGCCGCAGUAA
rnacentral:rRNA from 1 species